rnacentral:lncRNA from 1 species
GAUAUCAUUGUUGCUUGGAGAAUUUAUUUCAAAAUAAAUCCUAGCUACCAUCCUCAGUGUUUUAUGCCUGAUAAGACUGAAAAUAUUAAUUAUGAUUAUAAAAGCUAUCUACUCUGUAUUGAGUUUGUUUAAAAUGAGUUAGACCCUUGUAGAGAGAUUUAUCAUGCUCCUAAGAUCAAGAUAUUAUUUCAGAAAGAUUCACUCUUCCGAAGUAUUAUUGCAUUAGAGGCAUGGGCUAUGCAAAAAUAAAAAUAUUUCGAGGAAAUAAAAAGGAGCAAGUGCUCGACAACCUCGCAGAAAAAUGGACAAGUGUCCGGCAGU